UGGGGAAUAUUGGACAAUGGGCGCAAGCCUGAUCCAGCCAUGCCGCGUGAGUGAUGAAGGCCUUAGGGUUGUAAAGCUCUUUCGCCGACGAAGAUAAUGACGGUAGUCGGAGAAGAAGCCCCGGCUAACUUCGUGCCAGCAGCCGCGGUAAUACGAAGGGGGCUAGCGUUGUUCGGAAUCACUGGGCGUAAAGCGCACGUAGGCGGAUUGUUAAGUCAGGGGUGAAAGCCUGGAGCUCAACUCCAGAACUGCCCUUGAUACUGGCAAUCUCGAGUCCGGAAGAGGUAAGUGGAACUGCGAGUGUAGAGGUGAAAUUCGUAGAUAUUCGCAAGAACACCAGUGGCGAAGGCGGCUUACUGGUCCGGUACUGACGCUGAGGUGCGAAAAGCGUGGGGAGCAAAACAGGAUUAGAUACCCUGGUAGUCCACGCCGUAAACGAUGGAGGCUAGCCGUUGGCGAGCAUGCUCGUCAGUGGCGCAGCUAACGCAUUAAGCCUCCCGCCUGGGGAGUACGGUCGCAAGAUUAAAACUUAAAGGAAUUGACGGGGUCAUAGCUG
rnacentral:rRNA from 1 species